GCGGGAAUGGCGGAAUUGGCAGACGCGCUAGGUUGAGGGCCUAGUCCGGGCAACCGGGUGCAGGUUCAAGUCCUGUUUCCCGCA
rnacentral:tRNA from 1 species